ensembl:lncRNA
UCAAGAUCUUAUAAAUAUACUGGAGCAAAAUUGAUGAGUUAUAAGAAACACUGAGCAAAGAAGUACAAGAUUUAAGGAUUAAGAAAGCAGAGAUGCAGAAUACAAUAAUAAAAAAAAAAUUACUAGAAGCAACCAAUAGCAGAAUAUAAGAUGCAAAAGAAUGAAUAAGCAAAGUGGAAUACAGACUAGUGGAGAUCACUGACAUGGAACAGAAAAGCGAAAAAAGAUUGAAAAGAUAUGAAGAUGUUCCAAGAGAACUCUGGGAAAACAUUAAAUGCAUCAGCAGCUGUGUUAUAUGGGGGUACCAGAAGAAGAAGAGACAGAAAAAGGGCCAGAGAAAAUAUUUCAAGAGAUAAUAGCCAAAAACUUCCCUAACAUGGGAAAGGAAUCACUCACUCAAAUCCAGGAAGCAUAAUGAGUACCAUAUAAAAUAAACCCAAGGAGGAACACCCCAAGACACAUAUUAAUCAAAUUGACCAAAAUUAAAGACAGAGAAAAUACUGAAAGCAGCUAGAGAAAAGAAACAACACACAAGGGAACCCCAAUAAGGUUAUUGACAGAUUUUCCAGCAGAAUCUCUGUAGGCCAGAGGUGAGUGGCACAAUAUACUUAAAGUGGUGAAAGGAAAAACCUCCAACCAAGAUUAGUCCACCCAUUAAGGCUUUCAUUCAGAUUUGAAGGAGAAAUCGAAAACUUUACAGUCAAGCAAAAGCUAGAAGAAUUCAGCACCACUCAACCAGCUUUACUUUUCUUUAGGUAUAAAAGAAAAGGCCACAACUAGUAACAAAAAUAUUACAGAUGACAAGGCUCAUCAGUAAAGGCAUGCAUAUAGUAAAGGUAGGAAAUCAUCCAUACCCAGAUAUGCUACCAAAACCAGAAAUCAUGAGAAGAGGAGGGUACGAAUGCAGGACACUGGAGAUAUGCUUACAAUUAAAAGACCAACAACUAAAAACAAUUAUAUAUAUAUAUAUGUAUGUAUACACACACACACACACACACUCCUAUAUCAAAACCAGGGUAACUACAAACCAAAAAUCUGCAAUUGAUAGACACGCAAAUAAGAAAAAGCAAUCCAAAUACAACACCAAAGAUAGUCAUCAAACCAGAAGAGAAGAGCACAGAGAAGGGAGGAAAAAAAGACCAACAAAAACAAAUCCAAAAUAGUUCAUAAAAUGGUGAUGAGAACAUAUCAAUAUGUAUGUCCUUAAAUGUAAAUGGACUAAAUGCCCAAACCAAAAGACAUAGGCUGGCUGGAUACAAAAACAAGACCCAUAUUUAUUCUGUCUUCAAGAUACCCACUUCACUUCUAGGGAUACAUACAAAUUGAAAGUGAGAGGAUGGAAGAAAAUAUUCCGUGUAAAUCAAAAUCAAAAGAAAGCUGGAGUAGCAAUAGUCAUAUCAGACAAAAAAAAAAAAAAGACCUUAAUAUUAUAAGAGAUCAAGAAUGAUAUUAAAUAAUGAUUGAAGGAUCAAUCCAAGGAGAUAUAGCAAUUGUAAAUCUAUAUGCACCCAGCAGAAGAACACCUCAAUAUAUAAGGCAAGUGCUAACAACCUUAACAGGAGAAACUGACAAUAACACAAUAAUAGCGGGGGGCUUUAAUAUCCCACCUAGAGCAAUGGACAGAUCAGACAAAAUCAACAAGGAAACACAGGCCUUAUAUGAUGCAUUAGACCAGAUGGACUUAAUAGAUAUUUAUAGAACAUUACAUCCAAAAGCAGCA